UUUGAGGAUGUUUAGAAAGCUCAUUGCGGGCUCUGCUGCUGUCUACUGGUCAACAAUAUAUGGCGUGGUCCUUUUGAUGUACGAUACCCCGCGACCCCGAAAGGGACAAGCGGUAGGAAAAUGGAUAGAUGGAUACAUGGCCGGUGUUGUGCCGAAUUCUGCACCCCCGCCGUAAAAUGCACCCCCUGUCGGGAGCGCGCUUACGUCACUCGGUUGCAUCACCCGUCUCGAAAAGUAGCUAAACUCGGCUAAAAUCGCCUCUUUCGGCAUAAAAAUGUACAUAACAAGGUGAAUAAUCCAAGUUGUCUUUACUUUGGAUAUAUUAAUGGAUGGAUUAAUUGUGAUUCUUUAAUGAUUUCGCCGCCAUUGCCUUUAAUGAUUUCGUCGUCAUUCAAUCGCCUCUUUCGGCAUAAAAAUGUACAUAACAAGGUGAAUAAUCCAAGUUGUCUUUACUUUGGAUUUAUUAAUGGAUGGAUUAAUUGUGAUUCUUCAAUGAUUUCGCCGUCAUUGCCUUUAAUGAUUUCGUCGUCAUUCAGAGACAUCAAGGAGAACGAAUGUUUGCUGCUUCACUCGACGGGAUCCAAUACAUGUAUUUUAAAAAUAUGACAUUUUCUUUAACUGUAAGAAGCUCAUGGGUGGAUAGAUGAAUACAUUAAUAAAUGAAUGCAUCUGA